rnacentral:rRNA from 1 species
CCUACGGGUGGCAGCAGUCGGGAAUAUUGCGCAAUGGAGGAAACUCUGACGCAGUGACGCCGCGUGCAGGAAGAAGGUUUUCGGAUUGUAAACUGCUUUAGACAGGGAAGAAACAAGACAGUACCUGUAAAAUAAGCUCCGGCUAACUACGUGCCAGCAGCCGCGGUAAUACGUAGGGAGCAAGCGUUAUCCGGAUUUAUUGGGUGUAAAGGGUGCGUAGACGGGAAGUCAAGUUGGUUGUGAAAUCCCUCGGCUUAACUGAGGAACUGCAACCAAAACUAACUUUCUUGAGUGCUGGAGAGGAAAGUGGAAUUCCUAGUGUAGCGGUGAAAUGCUUAGAUAUCACGAAGAACCCCGAUUGCGAAGGCAGCCUGCCGCAGCGUUACUGACGCUGAAGCUCGAAAGCGCGGGUAUCGAACAGGAUUAGAUACCCCGGUAGUC